GCCGGAGUGGUGGAAUUGGUAUACACGCACGACUCAAAAUCGUGUCCCGCAAGGGAUGAGGGUUCGAUUCCCUCCUCCGGCA
rnacentral:tRNA from 1 species